CAAUAGCGUAUAUUAAAGUUGUUGCAGUUAAAAAGCUCGUAGUUGGAUUUCGGGGCGGCCUGUCUGGUCCGUCGCGAGACGAGUACUGGUCAGCCGCCCUUCCUCUCGAAAGCCCGACUGCUCUUAACUGCAGUGGUCGGGUAGUUCGGGACGUUUACUUUGAAAAAAUUAGAGUGUUCAAGGCAGGCUCUGGCCUGAAUACAUUAGCAUGGAAUAAUGGAAGAGGACCUCGGUCCUAUUUUGUUGGUUUCUGGGGCCGAAGUAAUGAUUAAGAGGGACAGUUGGGGGCAUUCGUAUUUAAUUGUCAGAGGUGAAAUUCUCGGAUUUAUGAAAGACGAACAACUGCGAAAGCAUUUGCCAAGGAUGUUUUCAUUAA
rnacentral:rRNA from 1 species